rnacentral:rRNA from 1 species
AGGCGAGGCUGAAAAGCGUAGUCGAUGGACAACAGGUUGAUAUUCCUGUACCGAUAUUUAAUUGCCGAAGGAAGGACGCAGAAGGAUAACACAGGCCACUAUUGGAUGUGGUUUUAAACAGUUAGUCUUCAUAAGAGUCAAAUGCUUUUAUGUUUAAGGAUAAGCUGUGAAUGUACCAAGUUUACUUGGAAAUUGUGUGAUUUCACGCUGCUGAAAAAAGUUUCGUAGGAAGAAAAUAUUGCCCGUACCGCAAACCGACACAGGUACUCGAGUGGAGAACACUAAGGUGAGCGAGUGAACUAUUGUUAAGGAACUCUGCAAAAUGAGUCCGUAACUUCGGAAGAAGGACUGCUGGUUUUAUACCAGCCGCAGCAAAUAGGCCCAAACAACUGUUUAUCAAAAACACAGGUUUCUGCAAAAUCGUAAGAUGAAGUAUAGGGGCUGACGCCUGCCCAGUGCUGGAAGGUUAAAAGGAGGACUUAGCUUCGGCGAAGGUCUUAAUUGAAGCCCCAGUGAACGGCGGCCGUAACUAUAACGG